GACGGGGGGGGCAAGUGUUCUUCGGAAUCACUGGGCGUAAAGGGCGCGUAGGCGGCGUUUUAAGUCGGGGGUGAAAGCCUGUGGCUCAACCACAGAAUGGCCUUCGAUACUGGGACGCUUGAGUAUGGUAGAGGUUGGUGGAACUGCGAGUGUAGAGGUGAAAUUCGUAGAUAUUCGCAAGAACACCGGUGGCGAAGGCGGCCAACUGGACCAUUACUGACGCUGAGGCGCGAAAGCGUGGGGAGCAAACAGG
rnacentral:rRNA from 1 species